rnacentral:rRNA from 1 species
AACGAACGCUGGCGGCAUGCCUAACACAUGCAAGUCGAACGAUCUCUUCGGAGAUAGUGGCGCACGGGUGCGUAACGCGUGGGUAUCUGCCCUAGGGUGCGGAACAACAGUUGGAAACGACUGCUAAUACCGCAUAAUGUCUUCGGACCAAAGAUUCAUCGCCCUUGGAUGAGCCCGCGUAAGAUUAGCUAGUUGGUGGGGUAAAGGCCUACCAAGGCGACGAUCUUUAGCUGGUCUGAGAGGAUGAUCAGCCACACUGGGACUGAGACACGGCCCAGACUCCUACGGGAGGCAGCAGUGGGGAAUAUUGGACAAUGGGGGAAACCCUGAUCCAGCAAUGCCGCGUGAGUGAUGAAGGCCUUAGGGUUGUAAAGCUCUUUUACCAGGGAUGAUAAUGACAGUAC